rnacentral:rRNA from 1 species
GACGAACGCUGGCGGCGUGCCUAAUACAUGCAAGUAGAACGCUGAAGGAGGAGCUUGCUCUUCUGGAUGAGUUGCGAACGGGUGAGUAACGCGUAGGUAACCUGCCUGGUAGCGGGGGAUAACUAUUGGAAACGAUAGCUAGUACCGCAUAAGAGUAGAUGUUGCAUGACAUUUACUUAAAAGGUGCAAUUGCAUCACUACCAGAUGGACCUGCGUUGUAUUAGCUAGUUGGUGGGGUAACGGCUUACCAAGGCGACGAUACAUAGCCGACCUGAGAGGGUGAUCGGCCACACUGGGACUGAGACACGGCCCAGACUCCUACGGGAGGCAGCAGUAGGGAAUCUUCGGCAAUGGACGGAAGUCUGACCGAGCAACGCCGCGUGAGUGAAGAAGGUUUUCGGAUCGUAAAGCUCUGUUGCAAGAGAAGAACGAGUGUGAGAGUGGAAAGUUCACACUGUGACGGUAUCUUACCAGAAAGGGACGGCUAACUACGUG